UGUAUUCGACCUUCUUAACAAAUAAUCAUUUAUAAGUUAACAAAAGUUUUGAAUAUUAUUCUCUCAUGGAAAUUCUGUUAUUACAUAGCACUUUAACUCGGUUGUCUUCUCUACGCAGGAAAACCUAAGAAAAAAGUCUGCAUUUAAGAGAUCCCGAUAGUGUAAGACUUCCCGGAUGUAUUUCUUAAAGAACUACCAAGACUGCCAGUAGACAAUAAAGUUAAGUUCACCAUAGAUCUUCAGCCUAACACUCAGCCGAUUUCGGUUACCCCUUUCUGUAUGAGUCAUGUUG
rnacentral:lncRNA from 1 species